rnacentral:miRNA from 1 species
UCCGACUUUCAAGCGAGCGUAG